UGCAACCCAGCCAUGUGCCCUUGACUGGAAUCAAACCCGGGACCCUUCAGUCCACAGACUGACGCCCUAUCCACAGAGACAAGCCAGCUAGGGCUUGUAAGGCUUUUGGAUUUGACACCACCUGUGCUGCUACCUCCUUCCCGGUCCAAGAUACUAUCAUAAUCCGCAGACUGAAGAAGUCAACCAUUUGCCUGAAGUCACGCAGCUAGCUGGCGAAUGCUGAGGCUGUGAUUCCGCAAACUCUGUUGGUGACUGCUCAUAACCCCUUGGAGGGUCCUACUGCGGCCUCAGUGCUUCCUCUCAGCACAGGACAUGCCAGCUGUGCCAGGGAGUUGAUGAUUCCAGAACAGCCCUCAACCAACGACUGACAGGAGUUGAAGGAUAAGUACCUCCACUUGGGUGGGACAACUCUGAGGUGCAUGUUCCAAACAGUUUCCCAGAGUUCCAGUGGUGACCCACUUGACAGCACAUAUAGGAAACAGAAACCCAGCACAAGAUAGAAGCAAAUGGAGUUCCCAGAUGAUGGUGAAGGAAGGUCCCCGGGGGAUCUUUGACAGCUGUGGACCAGAGCGGGUAACCAGUCAAGAUUCUAGCAGGUCUGAAGGCUCCAGGGAGAUCCCUUC